rnacentral:rRNA from 1 species
AUCCCAGUUCGGAUUGCAGGCUGCAACCCGCCUGUAUGAAGUUGGAAUCGCUAGUAAUCGCGGAUCAGCAUGCCGCGGUGAAUACGUUCCCGGGCCUUGUACACACCGCCCGUCACACCAUGAGAGUCGGGAACACCCGAAGUCCGUAGCCUAACCGCAAGGGGGCGCGGCCGAAGGUGGGUUCGAUAAUUGGGGUGAAGUCGUAACAAGGUAAC